ensembl:lncRNA
CGAGGCGGCGCGGGAGCCCGAUGGAGUCUGCGCCGCGGGUCCUCGCGCGCUUGGCUUCCCCUCUUUCGGUUUAAUCUUCAUAAUGCUUAAAGUAGCAAUUAUGAUUUCUUUUUCCUGUAGGUGGGCCCUCCCUUACACAGGUAAGGAAAGAAGAGGACCCCCAGGAGAGCGUCGGGAGGAACCGCAGCACUGCCCGUGGGCAGCAAGAGGAGGAUCCAGAAGAGAGAGCCAGAGAAGGAGCAUCAAAGAAGAGGGGGAAACCGAGGGAAAUUUCAAGGCCACAUGAUUAACAGUGUCAUCCUCAGCUGCUGCCAGGAAGCAGCAACAGCAGUUUGGCAAGAGCGAUGCUAGUGUGAAGAAAUGGAGACCCGGUGUAGAUUGCCCUUUGCCGAAGUUGCUUUAAAGAGAAGAAAGAGGGAGUUCACCGGUCCAAUUGGACCGAUUGGACCUCUAGCCUGGGAACCUCCAUAUGCCGUGGGUGUGGUCCUAAAAAGACCAGUAAGUAAAGAGAAGAAAGAGACAGAGUGACGGCUAGAGUCAGAAAAUGAGAGAAACUACCUCAAACGAAUUGGGAGACUUUCGGCUUUUUCUGUGCCAUUUUCUAAAAGGCCAAACCUGCAGCAUGUGGAAUAUCUGGGCUGGAGCGGAAUCAGAGCUACAGCGGCCUGCCACAGCCACAGCCACAGCCACAGCCACGCCAGAUCUGUGACCUGUGUUGCAGCUUGUGGCAGUGCCAGAUCCUUAACCCGCUGAGCGAGGCCAUGGAUCGAACCUGCAUCCUCACAGAGACUAUGUCGGGUUCCUAACCCGCUGAGCCCACUGGAAACUCUGUGUGCCAUUUUUUUAAACUUUUUUUGACUUCACCCGAGACAUGCAGAAGUUCCUGGGCCGGGGAUCAAAGCAGCAACCCAAGCCACAGCAGCAACCCAAGCCUCAGCACUGACACUGCCAGAUCCUUAAUCUGCCAAGCAACCAGGGAAUUCCUCUGUGCCUUGUUUUUGGUUUCGCUUUUUGCUUUUUAGGGCCGCAUCCGCAGCAUAUGGAAGUUCCCAGGCUAGGGGUCAAAUCAGAGCUGCAGCUGCCAGCCUAUGCCACAGCCACCACCACAGCAACACAGGAUCUGAGCCACAUCUGCAACCUGCACCACAGCUCACAGUGACACCGGAUCCUUAACCCACUGAGUGAGGCCAGGGAUCGAACCCACAUCUUCAUGGAUACUAGUUGGAUUUGUUUCUGCUGCACCACAACAGAAACUCCCUCUGUGCAAUUUUCGAUUUCUCAGAUCGAUGACCAUUAGAAACAAAGAAAAAACCCCAGUAACUAAAACCAAAUAUUGAAUUUUCAUGAAGGAUAUGUACACGGAUUUACUUAGGAGGCAGUGAACUGAUGUUUGCAACUUAGUUUGAAACAUACCAAAAAUAAAGCGGAGAGCAGUU